AUACAAAGACUACAAAUAUGCUAACCAAGUUUCUAGUAUUACUUUAUGUUUCAAAUUAUGCUGGCCAUCCAGAGUCUGCAUCUGACUGACAAGCUACAUGGAGUGAGCCAGAAUAUCUCUGAUAUAUUAUAUGUCUCUGAUAUAUUUAGCAUAAAACAAGGACUUUUCUGUGUCUUUUAUUGCUGGUUCCUUAAUUUACAAACAAUCAUCAAGAUGAUAAAUUUAUGUGAUUCCUACCGUGGGUUCAUGAGAGUGACAUUAACUCUUUUCAGUCUGUGUGUGUGUUUAAGUGUGUGUGUCAUACACAUACACACACACAUAUGUAUAUACACACACACACGUAUGUAUGUAGGUAGGUAAAUGUAUAUAUAAAUUAUGCAGACAAGAUCAUGUCCUUCCAAAUUAUUAGAGGGUGUGGCAGAUAUGAUAUCAUGAAAAGAAUUCAGUGAAGGAACUCUGUAUGCAAAAUGCCUUUUUAAAUGUCCAGAACCCCUAGGCAGUGACCAUAUUUUGAUGCUAACAUACUCUUUCCCUUGGAUUCUAAUGGUAUGUGCCAAUUCUCUAAUGGGAACCUACUGCGAAGGUCAGAAUGCUUAUAGAAGUCGUUUAGAAGUUACGCUGGAGAAGUUCCUACUGUGGCACAGCAGGUUAAGGAUCCAGCGCUCUCUCUGCAGUGGCCCAGUCGCUGCUGAGGCUGGGAUUCGAUCCCUAGCCCAGCCCAGAGCUGUGGAUCAGAGGAUCCAGGGUUGCAGCGGCCGUGGCGUAGGUCACAGCUGCAGCUUGCAUUUGAUCCCCGGCCCCGGAACUCCAUUCGCCAGGGGUGCAGCCCAAAGAAAAGAGUUACAUCGGAUGUUAAAUAUGUAUCAAACUACAGACGUUAAACCAAAAGGAAUAACCUACUAUUCUUUACGAAAGUCCAAAUAGCAUAACCGACUACUAUUGGUGAGUUUAAAAUACUCGAGAUUACUUUUGGAAGGUCUACAGCAGGCUCCAAAGAUGCUUUGUCUCAUCAGUACUGAUAUGUCAUAGCAAGAACAGCUUUCUUUUAAAAGCAGAAGUAGAUUUUAAAAGUAGAUUUCCCGGUAGCUCACUGGGUUAAGGAUCCAGCGUGGUCCCUGCUGUGGCCAGAUUCAAUCCCUGGCCUGGGAACUUUCGCAUGCCAUGGGCGCAGCCAAAAAAACCCAAGAACCUUUUGUAGAAGCAGCCGAAAUCCUCUGCAAGGCCUCCUGACUCCUUUUUCUAGUUUUUCUCCACUUUCGUUGGAGUGGGAGAUUGUUUUGAUUUUUAUUAAUUUCCACUCUUUUCAGUGGGAUCUAUAUGGAUGGGGAACUUGGCUCAGUUUUGCUCGAAUUCUCUCAACCCAGGAGGUCGGGACAAGGGGAAGGGAGGGCCAGUGCGUGCCAUGCAGUGAGGAGAAUGCACAUCGCAUGUGUGUGUGUAACUGAGUCACUUGGCUGUAAACCAAGUAUAUCCUUCAAUCGAUACGUCUUUAAAAUACGGCAGACCUAAUGCGAGUUGGCACCUUCAUCUUCUUCCAUCUAUAGGAAGAUGGAAACUUGGGGGAUGGACUUUAAGUGUGAAACAGACCACCUCGGGGAGCAGCACGGGGACAGCUGCCGGAGCCCGUGGUCCCAGCCCCGCUCCCCAGCUGCUGCGUGGCUCCCAGGAGACAGCACCCUUCCCGUCCCAUCUCUGUGGCCCUCACCAGCCUGCAGGUCUGGAGUCCCUGGACCAUCACACCUGUCGGCUGGCAGGUACCUGUCAACGCAUGGCUUUUGUGGAUGGGCUGGCACCCCCGGGGCCGUGCUGCCCAGCUUCCAUCCCCAUUCCGCUGUUCCCCUGCAUAGGGCACGAGAAAAGAGGACAGUCAGAUGUAAUCCUACCACACAGCAAAGGGGCUCUUUCCAAGGCGUGAAGGCAGCGUCUCCAGGACCCCGGAUGGCAAGCCCAGGACAGAGGCUCUAUGAGACCAAGGGAAGGCUUCUUGUCUCCAGCUGGUGUUGCUGGCCAUGGCCGGCAGCUCCUCUCACCUGCUGGCAGCGAAGGGGCGGUGGGGGGCGGGGGGCGGUGAUGUUUAGCUUCUCACCACGUCAGACCAGCUGGUUUCACGAUCACAGCGGAUAACUCCGACAUCCAGCCUUGCCGUUCCAGACAGAAGAAACACUCAGCUGUUGAUCUGGGUAUUCUGUCAGGGUCUGAGAAAAUAUUUACACCCUACCUGGGCCCAAAUAGCUAAUGACUUUGUCUUCCUGCUUCUGGAUUCUUCCCCGAGUUUACACAUUUCAACAUAAACUUGAGAGAACUGACAGACACCAGGACCAAGUAACACGUGCACGAAAGCCAAAGAUCUCAGGGUGUCAUCUUACCGCCGUGUUAAGACCACAUGUCUGCCUCGCCGGACAGAUCAGAAGCAACCAUCAUUUCAAACGUCUGCACGGGGGCCAUGCCACUCCUGGCUCCAGCCACCUUCACAGUUAGGAAAUCUAUGGUUCCCCAGUGAAAAUGCUCCAUCGUGUUCUGGGUCGAAGCUUUGCUGCUCUCCAGGGUAACCAAACCCAGUGUGUUAAUUCUUUUUGGUGGUUUUCUGCUGCCUCGGUCAUAGGCUAAGUGCUUUGGUCUCUCCAUCGGCUAAGAAAGACUAUAAAAGGGUAACCCUCAUGCUGCAUGAAUCAACACCACGGAGAAGGGCAGAAGAAACCCCUCCACACAUCUUAUUUGUAUCAUGUAUGUGUUUACUCACGCCUUUGAUUUCUAGCUUGUUUGCCUUUCAGAGGAAAGCCAAUGAAAAUACCUAAAGGCGGCUUCGCAGCCCUGUCACGACUUCAGUUCUCUUAGGAGUCGCAAUUCCCAUCUCUCUCUACUUACCCUGGGUUCUGCAUGUUCUAUAUUUAUAAUUCAUUUUGUUUCAUGGCCCCACUUGCAGCAUAUGGAAGUUCCUGGGCUGGGGAUCGAGUUGGAGCUGCAGCUGCCGGCCUACACCACAGCCACAGCCAUGCAGGAUCUGAGCCACCUCUGCGACCUUGGCCCCAGCUCAUAGCCACACAGAAUCCUCCACCCACUGAGAGAGGCCAGGGACUGAACCCGCAUCCUCAUGGAGACAACACUGGGUUCUUAACCUGCUGAGCCACAACGGGAGCUCCUAUAAUUCACUUUCUAUCUAUAUAGGCACUUUCUAUGACCCUAAGGAAGUCAUUGGUGUAUCUUGCUGGCUUCUGGUACUUAUUUUCCGUGGUCCUGUUGUUACCCAGCCAGACUCGGGCCCACUCGCCAGCUCCAGCGAAGCCAGUCUCCUGGCACAGGGUUGCGAUGAAGGAAAGUGCAGCGGUUACUGUAGGGCACUGAGCAAGGAGAAGGGGCAGCCGGUGCUCAAAACACCCUGGAGGAUGGGCCUCGGGAGGCAUUUUUAAAGGACAGGGAGGGAGAGGGGGAGGCGGCGCGACCACAGGGUGAACAUCUCCAGCCCCAGGUUCCAAUAGGUCUGGGGGCUAGAGCUCAAGGUCCCCUGGCAGCUAACCUCCUCCCUUUGGUGGGGUCUGGGGCCUGUAAAGGAGCGCAGGGCUCUUGUUCUGCGUGUGCCCUGAGGAGGACCCAGGACCCUGCUCCAAUCACCGCCCUGCUGUCCCUCCUGCUUUAACCAAUCACCGCCCUGCUGUCCCUCCUGCUUUACCCAAUCACCGCCCUGCUGUCCCUCCUGCUUUAACCAAUCACCGCCCUGCUGUCCCUCCUGCUUUACCCAAUCACCGCCCUGCUGUCCCUCCUGCUUUACCCAAUCACCGCCCUGCUGUCCCUCCUGCUUUAACCAAUCACCGCCCUGCUGUCCCUCCUGCUUUAACCAAUCACCGCCCUGCUGUCUCCCCUGCCUUUCCUUGGCUUCUUGCCCUCCUCCUUUCCCGGGUUAGCGGAGGUUUGAAUCUGCCCUUGGAACUCCGGGAGGGACUGGGAGGCUGAAGCCUCUUUCCCGCAGAUGAGAAACAGGACAGGGAAAGGCUUUCCUCGCGGGGAGGGCCUCGCAGGGUCCUGCUUGGCUUCAGUGUUACCAACCGAGCCUCUCGUUCACCACCUCUCAGGUGUGUCUCCGUCACAAGAGGGACAGCUCAGGCUUUACUCCUCGCAGACUAAGCUCCAGAGGCAUGUAGGCUUCUGUCAAGUCACCCACACCUUGUCCCAUCCGCCUCGUUUCAGCCCCAUCACGUCCCAACGUCGGAGGCCCAGGGCUCAGCUGGGAAGAACAUCAUUUGGGGGGUGCAGGGGAGACACCACCAGCCCUCCUGGCCUCCCGUCUGUGCUGUGCUCUCACCUCUGCCCCCGUCUGCUGAACAUCAGAUGCGACGUUCCCCUUUCUUUGUAGUUCUUUCUCCCUCUAAGACUCUUCUCUAUCCAU
rnacentral:lncRNA from 1 species